UACGUAGGGGCCAAGCGUUGUCCGGAUUUAUUGGACGUAAAGAGCUCGUAGGCGGUUCAGUAAGUCGGGUGUGAAAACUCUGGGCUCAACCCAGAGACGCCACCCGAUACUGCUGUGACUUGAGUACGGUAGGGGAGUGGGGAAUUCCUGGUGUAGCGGUGAAAUGCGCAGAUAUCAGGAGGAACACCAGUGGCGAAGGCGCCACUCUGGGCCGUAACUGACGCUGAGGAGCGAAAGCGUGGGUAGCAAACAGG
rnacentral:rRNA from 1 species